AGAGUUUGAUCCUGGCUCAGGACGAACGCUGGCGGCGUGCCUAAUGCAUGCAAGUCGAGCGACGCGCACUACGGUGCGACGGAGCGGCGAACGGGUGAGUAACACGUGAGCAACCUGCCCUGAAGACCGGAAUAGCCCGGGGAAACCCGGUGUAAUGCCGGAUACACUCCCGAUACCGCAUGGUAUGGGAGAAAACGCCUUUGUGCUUCAGGAUGGGCUCACGGCCUAUCAGCUAGUUGGUGAGGUAACGGCUCACCAAGGCGACGACGGGUAGCUGGUCUGAGAGGACGAUCAGCCACACUGGGACUGAGACACGGCCCAGACUCCUACGGGAGGCAGCAGCAGGGAAUAUUGCGCAAUGGGCGAAAGCCUGACGCAGCGACGCCGCGUGGGGGAUGAAUGCCUUCGGGUUGUAAACCCCUUUCAGGAGGGAAGAAAUUGACGGUACCUCCAAAAGAAGCCCCGGCCAACUACGUGCCAGCAGCCGCGGUAAGACGUAGGGGGCAAGCGUUGUCCGGAAUCAUUGGGCGUAAAGGGCUCGUAGGCGGCUCGGUAAGUUGAUCGUGAAAUCCCGGAGCUCAACUCCGGAACUGCGGUCGAUACUGCCGUGGCUAGAGUCAGGUAGAGGAGAGUAGAAUUCCCGGUGUAGCGGUGGAAUGCG
rnacentral:rRNA from 1 species